rnacentral:sRNA from 1 species
GCCGGGCAUGGUGGCGUGUGCCUGUAGUCCCAGCUACUUGGGAGGCUGAGGCAGAAGAAUCACUUGAACCCAGGAGGCGGAGGUUGCAGUGAGCUGAGAUCGUGCCACCGCACUCCACCCUGGGUGACAGAGCGAGACUGUGUCUCAA